UUAUCAAAAACAUGUCUUUUUGUUAAUAUAUAAAAAGUCUAACCUGCCCAUUGAAAAAUUUAAAAGGCUGCGGUAUUUUGACCGUACAAAGGUAGCAUAAUCAUUAGUUUCUUAAUUGGAAACUUGUAUGAAUGGUUGAAUGAGAUAUUUUCUGUUUCAUAAAAAUUUUAAUAGAAAUUAAUUUUUUAGUUAAAAAGCUAAAAUAAAUUUAAAAGACGAGAAGACCCUAUAGAGUUUAAUAUUUUUUUUUUAUUAAUUAAUUUAGAUUAUUUAUAAUUUAUUUAUUAAAAAUAUUUUGUUGGGGUGACAAUAAAAUUUAAAAAACUUUUAUUAAUUUUUUAUAAAAAUUUUUAUAUAAUUGAUCCAUUUUUAUUGAUUAAUAGAUUAAAUUACCUUAGGGAUAACAGCGUAAUUUUUUUUUAGAGUUCUUAUCGAUAAAAAAUUUUGCGACCUCGAUGUUGGAUUAAGAUAAAUUUAAGGUGUAGAAGCUUUAAGAUUAGGUCUGUUCGACCUUUAAAUUCUUACGUGAUCUGAGU
rnacentral:rRNA from 1 species